rnacentral:rRNA from 1 species
UACAGAGGGUGCGAGCGUUAAUCGGAAUUACUGGGCGUAAAGCGCGCGUAGGCGGCUUUGCAAGUCGGGUGUGAAAUCCCCAGGCUUAACCUGGGAACUGCAUUCGAGACUGCAUUGCUAGAGUAUGGGAGAGGAAAGCGGAAUUUCUGGUGUAGCAGUGAAAUGCGUAGAUAUCAGAAGGAACAUCAGUGGCGAAGGCGGCUUUCUGGACCAAUACUGACGCUCAGGUGCGAAAGCGUGGGGAGCAAACAGG